GGCAGGGGCUAAGAGAGGUGUCUCUUGUUUAGGGCUUUGAAGGCCCUUGGUUUAAAGUUUAACCUAAGCCUCUA
rnacentral:tRNA from 1 species